rnacentral:rRNA from 1 species
UGAAUACGAGACGCUACGGCGUCGAAGCAGUCGAUGUCAUACUUCCAAGAAAAGCUUGCAAUGUCAUAAACAAAUAAUGCCUGUACCAUAACCGACACAGGUGGGUAGGUAGAGUAUACUAAGGGGCGCGAGAUAACUCUCUCUAAGGAACUCGGCAAAAUGACUCCGUAACUUCGGGAGAAGGAGUGCCUUAUUUAUAAGGUUGCAAUAACAAGAUCCAAGCAACUGUUUAUCAAAAACACAGGUCUCCGCUAAGUCGUAAGACGAUGUAUGGGGGCUGACGCCUGCCCAGUGCCAGAAGGUUAAAGAAGUUGGUUAGCAUCCGCGAAGCUGAUAACUGAAGCCCUGGUGAACGGCGGCCGUAACAAUAACGGUCCUAAGGUAGCGAAAUUCCUUGUCGGGUAAGUUCCGACCCGCACGAAAGGCGUAAUGAUUUGGAUACUGUCUCGGAGAGGGACUCGGUGAAAUAGACUUGUCUGUGAAGAUGCGGACUACCUGCACCUGGACAGAAAGACCCUAUGAAGCUUUACUGUAACUUGAAAUUGAAAUUGGACUUUAUUUGCGCAGUAUAGGUGGGAGGCGUUGAGAAUAUUCUUGCGGGAAUAUUGGAGCCAUCAGUGAGAUACCACUCUUGUAAUGUUAGAUUUCUAACUUUGCAUCAUUAUCUGGUCAAAGAACAGUUUCAGGCGGGCAGUUUGACUGGGGCGGUCGCCUCCCAAACGGUAACGGAGGCGUACAAAGGUUUCCUCUGAACGGGUAGAAAUCGUAUCUAGAGUGUAAAGGCAUAAGGAAGCUUGACUGUGAGACCUACAAGUCGAGCAGGGACGAAAGUCGGUCUUAGUGAUCUGACGGUGCUGAGUGGAAAGGCCGUCACUCAACGGAUAAAAGUUACUCUAAGGAUAACAGGCUGAUCUCCCCCAAGAGUUCACAUCGACGGGGAGGUUUGGCACCUCGAUGUCGGCUCAUCGCAUCCUGGGGCGGUAGUACGUCCCAAGGGUUGGGCUGUUCGCCCAUGAAAGCGGUACGCGAGCUGGGUUCAGAACGUCGUGAGACAGUUCGGUCCAUAUCCGGUGUAGGCGUUAGAAUAUUGAGAGGAGCCUUCUUUAGUACGAGAGGACCGAGAAGGACAUACCUCUGGUGUACCAGUUAUCGUGCCAACGGUAAACGCUGGGUAGCUAUGUAUGGAUAGGAUAACCGCUGAAAGCAUCUAAGUGGGAAGCCCACCUCAAGAUAAG